AAAUUGAAGAGUUUGAUCAUGGCUCAGAUUGAACGCUGGCGGCAGGCCUAACACAUGCAAGUCGAACGGUAACAGGAAGCAGCUUGCUGCUUCGCUGACGAGUGGCGGACGGGUGAGUAAUGUCUGGGAAAUUGCCUGAUGGAGGGGGAUAACUACUGGAAACGGUAGCUAAUACCGCAUAAUGUCGCAAGACCAAAGAGGGGGACC
rnacentral:rRNA from 2 species